CUUCAGUAGAACCAGCUUCCCCAUCCCCGUCAGAAGUGAUGUCCACAGCCUCUCCACCCUUCCGUUCACUGAAGAAACUGUAAUGGCAUCCCCUGAAGACCUUAGUUCCAGAGGGAGAAAUGAUACAUUGAACUAAAAAUUAAGACUGCCACUGGGACACUUUGGGUUUCUCACACUAUUGAGUCAACAGGCAAGGAAGAAAGUGACUGUGCUGUUUGGAUAAUUGGUCAUGUCUAACAAGAAGAAAUUGGACUACUACUGCACAAUGGAGAGUCCAAGACAGUAUCAUCAAUCUGUGUUGCCUCUUGGUGUAAAGCAUGUAUGUGUUGGAAGUAUUUUACCUGAGCUACUGUGUCCAAGAAGACGUUACACACAGAGUAAUAUGUAACAGCUAUGAACACUAGAAAAUCACUACUAUAUUGGCUCCCUCUCCACCAUCUGGGAGGGGAAAAUAGGUUAAUGUUCAGAAUAGUAUGAUAGCUCCAAGCAUAAUACUCAGCCUUCCUGGGGUUCAUAAAACAAACAAAUGCACUUGCAAAGAUGUUGAUGAAAUAAAGCCUCUG
ensembl:lincRNA